UGCUCAUCCGCGCUAAGAGGGGCUGCAGCAGCCACCGUUGAUACGCUCUCCGCCGUCGCCUUCAACACGUCUGUUGCAACAAACGCGUUGCUUCCAUCCACAUCCAGAGGGUAAGACGCGUGCUCAUGUGAUGUAUGCCUGCUCUCUGUUGAGCAUUCGUGUGCAUUUUCUGCCCCCUCGGAAACUGCACCAGCCGGGCGCGGAGGUGUCCGUCGUAAGCUCCUCUUGAGUUGGGGCAGCCGCGUGCCAGGGAGGACCUUGCUUCCAACUUUUUCUGCACCACCACUCGAGCCUUUUUGCGACAGUUUCACAGUGAACUGUAAGCUAACCUGCUCAACACAUUUGGGAGUUGCAUUUGUGUGCCGACGUGCACGUCCCCCAUAGCAUCCGUUCCGUUGCGGGGAGAGAGAGGGGGUAAACAGCGAGACAGUCGGGGGCACAGAGCCGCCGGCUCCGCUUCGGCUGCUUUUCGGCUUUGUAACCUUCACUAGAGAGCCAUCCGCCAUGGGGUUUCCGAAGGAUAUACGUUUCUUUUUUCCCUGUCAAGUGCUUGCCUGCUGCAACCAAUAUACACGGAUGGUUAGACAGGUAGAGCGCGUGCACCGGCGCCAACGCACGAGUGUGGCGCAGCACUCGACGUAUGGGCUCUUUGGUUCAUCUGAAGACGGGAGACGCACGGAGACCCCCGGGACAGUAGCAGACGGCGAAAGUUGGGCAUUCACUUUCUUGUAAGGGGACUAACUCAAUUACCGUUCCGGCUUAGCAGACGCAAACAAAUCAGCCGUCGAAGCUGAAAAACUUGUCACACUCUCGGCUUCCUGCGACGUGCACGGGCAAACGCCUACAGGGUUCCGGCCCACGUUGAGCAGAUUUGCCACGCCUCGGACGGUGGCGACGAAGUCGUGGCAACUUCGAAGUUGAGACGUCAAAGACAGCGUGUUCAGGCUGCACGUUCACUCGGAGGGAGCAAAAAGGUGUGACGAGAAUUUCAUGGAAAAACAGUUGAAGCAGAGCUCCGGAUUCCUCCGUAACGGGAACCUCAGAACAGCAGCGUUGCGGACGCCCCGCGCAACGUGUCUCCGCAUCGCCAGGGUCCUCUGCUUGUUUAGCGCGGUGAAUCCGCUUUGGGAGGGGAAGGGAGGCGGUCCGGGUGCCCGAUGCGUUUGCGCAACGUUGGAAAGCGCAACGAGGCCCCGAACUUGGUUGCUCCAGGCGAAAUAUACGUCAGAUGGAAGGGGAGUGCCGACUCGACCCUCAACGCAGACAGGCUUGCGACAGCAUUUUUUUUCAAACGGGCUGGAAACAGAUAUUUCCGUUUGGGAAAAACGCAUCGACUGAUAUCUUCGCCGUUCUCGGGGGGAAUCACACGAGCCCCCCUUCCCGCAUCGACCAAUAGACAACGCGCGCGGCGACACGCGACCUCUCUGACACGUCUCGAGCACGGACCCCACAGACGGGUUUGUCAGAACGAAAACUCCGAUUUGUUAAAGAUAUCCGUGAAUUCCUGUGUUUUGCCAAACAGCCAAGUAAACAGGGUAAAUGUGUUCCGGGUGAAAGAGGGCCGCUCGCGCUCCUCACAACCUUGUGGGAGUGUGUGCAGGAUGUAUCUCACGGAGCGGCUGGACCGCCGUUUGACUGCGGAACGGCUAACCUUCUGCAUGCGACUAAACAUGGCCCUCGCUUACUUGGUUAGUUGUGCUUCUGGUCGACCCCAACGGAUUCCCAGAAGUCCAGCACAGUAGAGGCCGCACCGGCCUCUGAACCUCUCUGUGACUGCAGAGGAGGUCAGUCUUUUGCAAAGAAGCCAAGUAUUCCAUGUAAAGGAGAAGAGAAAAAACAUCAUGAGCACAACCAACUCCCCCUUAGGGGUCCGCGCAACUUCUUAAUCCGAGCCCAUGCGGACACGGUCUGCACAGAUCUGUGUCUCUCCGAGUCUCGCAGACGAACGGAAGAAAUUCAAAAACGGGUGCCACAGUUUCUUGAUUUUCUCGUAGCUGAAUCCAGAAUCCGUCAGAGGUUUAUCUGCCAUCGACUGAGGGCAACUGUUCCGCAAGAAGACUGGUUUUGAGAUAUCUAACCAGUUUUGCAGUAACAUUUUGUUGACAGAAACGGGGGGGGAUGCACACAGCAGUGCUGUGACGAAUCAACGUUUUUUCGUGCCAAAGCAGCAAACUCGUGUUUCGAUCAUCACAAGGUUUGUCAGCAUAUUUUCGAAACGGAGAAAUCGGUUAUCACCACGUCGAAGUGUCCCUCAGCAUCCCGGUAAUACGAUAGUCUGCUGAGUCACUCGCUGGGUGUUAGUGCGUUCCAUUAGAGGCCGCCUUUAUCUAUGUUGAAUCCUCUAAAGUGAACAAGUCGUUCCACUGUUAUGGCAGACAAGUGCUUCUCACGCCCAUCCCUCUCCAUGCUACCCCAUUUUCAUGCGUACCGACUGAAUGUGUUAAUCAAGUGCGUACAACGGGGAGAGCCGAUUCC
rnacentral:lncRNA from 1 species